AAACCGGGGAGAGUGGCGGACGGGUGAGUAAGACGUUGGUGACCUGCCCCGAAGAGAGGAACAACCGCUGGAAACGGUGGCUAAUACCUCGUGUGUCUGUUGAAGUUAGAGUUUGACAGAGGAAGGACUACGGUUCGCUUUGGGAGGGGCUAACGUGCUAUCAGCUAGUUGGUGGGGUAAAGGCUCACCAAGGCGAAGACGGCUAGGGGGCGUGAGAGCGCGACCCCCCACAAUGGGACUGAGACACGGCCCAG
rnacentral:rRNA from 1 species